rnacentral:rRNA from 1 species
UACAGAGGUCUCAAGCGUUGUUCGGAUUCAUUGGGCGUAAAGGGUGCGUAGGCGGCGCGGUAAGUCGGGUGUGAAAUCUCGGAGCUUAACUCCGAAACUGCAUUCGAUACUGCCGUGCUUGAGGACUGGAGAGGAGACUGGAAUUUACGGUGUAGCGGUGAAAUGCGUAGAUAUCGUAAGGAAGACCAGUGGCGAAGGCGGGUCUCUGGGCCGAUAUUGACGCUGAGGAGCGAAAGCGUGGGGAGCAAACAGG